rnacentral:rRNA from 1 species
CAGUAGCCACGGGAAUACGUAGGGUGCGAGCGUUGUCCGGAAUUACUGGGCGUAAAGAGCUCGUAGGCGGUUUAUCACGUCGUCUGUGAAAUCCUAGGGCUUAACCCUGGACGUGCAGGCGAUACGGGCUGACUUGAGUACUACAGGGGAGACUGGAAUUUCUGGUGUAGCGGUGGAAUGCACAGAUAUCAGGAAGAACACCGAUGGCGAAGGCAGGUCUCUGGGUAGUAACUGACGCUGAGGAGCGAAAGCAUGGGUAGCGAACAGGAUUAGAUACCCCGGUAGUCCCUGUCUCUUAUAC